ACCCAGUAUAAAAAUCCACUCAAGAGUUGCAUUUGCCAAAGCUGUCAUUUGAAGCUGCCAUGAAACAAAAUCUUCCUGUUUCUCUCUCAUGACAAGUUGUAACUCAGAGCCGUUCGAAGCACCCAAUGAAUUAAGGCGCCAAUCAAGUCAGGAAGCAAAGCAAAGGAACACAGUCUGUCCGAAAAGUCCCAAAAUACCGAAUUGACUAAGAAAAUGCCCAACAAUAACAAAGCCUGGCAUUGCCCAAAAUGCCGUCAAAUCGUCCGAAGUAAACUGCAGCUUCAAAGACAUCAACGAUCUGGGGCAUGUGCACGUUUUUUUUGCCGUCAAGAAAAUCAUGUGCAUGAACUUCUAGAUGAGUCGUUUGAUACGAUGGAUGAGGCUAAAGCUUGGAUAGUUCAAACUGAGAUGGAUAAGGCCUUUGUCAUCAAGGGAAGUUAUGAUGGGCAUUUGCUGUAUCGGUGUCGGCACUACAUGAAGCCAGAAAACGCCCCUUCUGUUAGGCCUAGUCCAAUCCAACGCCGCCUUAAGGUGGCAAUUCCGGCAUUGGGUUGCUUAGCCGUUUUGAGAGUGGACCGGAUGAUGAUGUGCAAUUGUUUGUCGCCAAAUCCUGAUGGCAAUGAAAACAGUUAGGAGCGUUUUUGCAUGCAUCCAGCCACUCGAAUUCGUAUUCGGGGCUGCCUCACGCACUGUCACAGCCAAGAAAUCCGAUUCUUGAGAUUGUCCCAAGCAAACAAAGACUUCUACAUUUCGUUGCUCAACCUGGGCCUUAGCAAGGAUACCAUUCUCAAGCGGUAUUGUAACUCCCAUCAAUUCAAUACCUUGGACUCAAAGGUCACCACUUUACAGGACUUGCGAAAUUUAGAAAGAAUUUACGUGAACUCAGGCCUCGAUCGCAACAAAACGGAUGUUGAGAACGUCCGCACGUUUCUAGAAAGAUCCAAUUUCCGUGGAUUCUCGUUUGAUGGCUUGACUUUGGGCGACUUCUCGAUUCCCGUAACAUUAAGAUCGAAGCAAUUCAAAACCGAAAACCAAGAUACUGUCAUUGUGUAUGAGUCAAAUGACAUGCUGAAGGAUUUUGAAGAACACCCAACCAUGAUCUUUGUUGAUGGGACUCAUGGGACAAACCGAUCCCGAUUUUCCUUAAUCUCCAUUUUAGUCCUUGACUCGCGGGGAGAAGGGACCCCAGUGAUGCAGGUGGUUGGCAGCUCAGAAUCAAGGUCUGUUCUCGCGCCGGCGUUUCGUAUCCUGAAAGAGAUAGCUCCCAAUUCAAUCGCGAAAGUCAAGGUUAUGGUUUCUGACAUGAACCAUGCGUUCAUGAAUGCGUGGGAGAAGGCGGUGCCGGAGUUUCAAAUCAAGCAUAUAGUUUGCUCAUGGCAUUUGCUAAACGCUUGGAAAAAGAAAUUGUUGCCUCAAAAUUCUGAAUUGUAUGAGAAAUUGUGCCAGCUACAACUGAUAUUGGACAAGGAAGAAUUUCAAACACAUUAUCUGAAACUGCGUCAUGAUUAGAGUCACAAAACGGAUGGCUGGGAGUAUUUCGAAAAACACUAUGGUCCAAAUGGAAGCAUCGCCAAACCUGAAGAGUGGGCCCGUUGCCACACCAAAGGGUAUGUAACCCACAAUUUAGCUAUUGAACGACACAAUCGCACAAUCAAAGACCACGGCCUUCAAAGAAGUCACGGCAUCGAUCAGCUUUGCUUAGACUUGUUGGCAGUUAACGAAUUUUUCAAAAGAAAACGGCUUUUAGUCAAGCACAGAAUCUUAGGCGGAUCAAAGCCAUCGAGAGCCCAAAAUCGUCACCAAAACUUGCACCCCAAUGAUUCUAACCUUUAUUUCUUGCAUCAAACAGAGGACUCAAAUGAUAUCCUGGUCAUCAAGCACCACAAUGAGAAUCAAAGAUCUGAACAUACUCUGACCUCCAACCCGUAUCCUUGUCAUCAAGAUCGUUGCCAAGUCCGAUGUUCAAAAUGCCCCUCAUCAGCCAUAUGCGCUCAUUCGUUCAUAUGUUCCUGCCAAUCCUUUGCCAAGCAAUCAAGUUGCAAGCAUCUUCAUCUAGUUGCCAUGAACUAUAUGUGUGUAAAUCCAACUCCUGAACAUGAUUAUUGUGGAUCGCGCCAAACCAAUCAAUCAGAAUUGGUUGAGUUCAGCAAUAAUGGAGUCGAUGCUACAUCAUUGAAUUCAAAUGGAGUCGAGGAUUAUAAUAGUAAGGCUGAUGAAGAACUUUCCACCUCGAUAGAGCCUGAGGUGUCAUCAGAACAGGGUUUCCAACGGCAAGUGCAGCAAAGUCUAGCGAAGCUCCGCAAUAGGCUAAUUGACCAGGAGAUUGAAUUGGAGGAAAGAAGAACUAUCCUGGGAAAAAUCGAUUCCGUUACCAAUUCCUCAAAAUCAAUAAAGUCAGCGUUUCCCAAGUUAGAUACUAAGAGGAAGAGGGAGCGUGCCCCUUCGGUGUUUCCACAGCCCAAAAAAAGGGGCCAGCAGAUUAAAGACCGAAUCCAACCCAAGACCUUACAAUUUGGUCUGCUAAAUGAAUGCCUCGAGAUCACCAUUGGAUCAAACUUGCUGGAUGUUUGCUGUCUCUUUAAAACAGAGCGAUGUUUGUAAGCAUGCCAGGGAAUUGGGUCAGGACGAAAAGCGAUUUCUCAAACUAUAUGAAGAAGCUUGUGAUAUAUGGAAAUGUGGACAAUGCCAGGCCUUUGACAUGGAAAGAAACUUAUCGGGUUACAUCAAAUGUAAUUACUGUCUGUUGUGGAUUCAUUGUAUUUGUGCGAAUUUGGAAGAGGACGAAGUUGAUGAAAACGCCGAAUGGAAGUGCUCAAAGUGUGAUACUACCCCAUCCGAUUUGUGAGUCUAACAGUAUUCAAAUUGUUACUUCAAAUAGUUACUUCAUAGUGUGUCCAAUUCUCUUUCAAAUAAAAUAUCGUAUCCUA